CUCUCCUUCCAAUAGGCCUUCCUCCUGAAGGGACGCAAUAUAUGUUGAAAAUCCCCUUCUCAACCCCUUAGCAAGUUGCAUCGCCGAUAGGACUCACUGCAAAGUCCAUCUAACUCGCUUCCCUUGAACCAUGCAAGGCUUGCUUGAGUUCAGGACCACCACCACAUCUGAAUCUGUCUUCACCAUGGCUUGUAGCUGGGUAAGCAAGGACAUACCAAUGACCACCUCAUAGUCGUCGAUAGGGGCAACUACUAUUGUCACCCAUCCGAUCCAUGCACCGAAUUGGAUCUCAACUCCUUUGCUAUUCUGCUCGUAGCUACCUCUGCGGAGUUGAUUGCCUUGAACGUGUGCUCAUCAUGUUCAAUCUUCAGGUUGAGCUUCUUCGCUGUUGUUGAGUCCACGAAGAAGUCGGUGGCACCCGUAUCAAUAAGUGCCUGAAAGGUAUGACCACCAAUACUGAUAGGUGUGUAAAGUAAGCCUCACGGCCUCUUGG
rnacentral:lncRNA from 1 species